CCUACGGGUGGCAGCAGUGAGGAAUAUUGGUCAAUGGGAGGAAUCCUGAACCAGCCAUGCCGCGUGCAGGACGACGGCUCUACGAGUUGUAAACUGCUUUUGUACCGAGGUAAAAUGCCUUACGUGUAGGGUUUUGAAAGUACGGUACGAAUAAGGAUCGGCUAAAUCCGUGCCAGCAGCCGCGGUAAUACGGAGGAUCCGAGCGUUAUCCGGAUUCGUUGGGUUUAAAGGGUGCGUAGGUGGUUUUAUAAGUUAGCGGUGAAAUACCGAUGCUCAACAUCGGGGCUUCCGCAAAUACUGUAGGACUAGAGAGCGGAUGCAGCAGGCGGAAUGUGUAGUGUAGCGGUGAAAUGCAUAGAUAUUACACAGAACACCGAUUGCGAAGGCAGCUUGCUAGGCCGGAUCUGACACUGAUGCACGAAAGCGUGGGGAUCGAACAGGAUUAGAUACCCGGGUAGUC
rnacentral:rRNA from 1 species